CCUACGGGAGGCAGCAGUGGGGAAUAUUGCGCAAUGGGCGAAAGCCUGACGCAGCGACGCCGCGUGAGGGAUGAAGGUCUUCGGAUCGUAAACCUCUGUCAGCAGGGAAGAACGGUCACUGUGCUAAUCAGCAGUGAAUUGACGGUACCUGCAAAGGAAGCACCGGCUAACUCCGGGCCAGCAGCCGCGGUAAUACGGAGGGUGCGAGCGUUAAUCGGAAUUACUGGGCGUAAAGCGCUCGUAGGCGGUAUGUCAAGUCAAGGGUGAAAUCCCCGCGCUCAACGGGGGAACUGCCUUUGAAACUGGCAGACUGGAGUGUGUGAGAGGAGAGUGGAAUUCCAGGUGUAGGAGUGAAAUCCGUAGAUAUCUGGAGGAACAUCAGUGGCGAAGGCGACUAUCUGGCACAUAACUGACGCUGAGGAGCGAAAGCGUGGGUAGCAAACAGGAUUAGAUACCCGUGUAGUC
rnacentral:rRNA from 1 species